rnacentral:rRNA from 1 species
UGGGGAAUUUUGCGCAAUGGGCGAAAGCCUGACGCAGCGACGCCGCGUGUGCGAUGAAGGCCCUAGGGUUGUAAAGCUCUUUCACCCGCGAAGAUGAUGACGGUAGCGGGAGAAGAAGCCCCGGCUAACUCCGUGCCAGCAGCCGCGGUAAUACGGAGGGGGCAAGCGUUGUUCGGAAUUACUGGGCGUAAAGGGCGCGUAGGCGGUCUGUUGCGUCAGGUGUGAAAGCCCCGGGCUCAACCUGGGAGGUGCACUUGAUACGGGCAGGCUAGAAUCCGGGAGAGGAUGGUGGAAUUCCCAGUGUAGAGGUGAAAUUCGUAGAUAUUGGGAAGAACACCGAUGGCGAAGGCAGCCAUCUGGACCGGUAUUGACGCUGAGGCGCGAAAGCGUGGGGAGCAAACAGGAUUAGAUACCCGUGUAGUCC